CUUGCCCUUCCGGAACGCUCCCAAACCCUAGGCGCGUGACCAUGUCGGGGUCGUACGGAUCCGACGACUACCGCGGCGGCUACGGCGGCCGAGGUCGCGUCGGGAUCCUGCGGGUUGUGUGCGUGCUUGCUUCUGGAUCUGCUCCUGACUGGCUUGUGGUUUUUUUUGUAGGUGGCGGCGGAGGCGGCCGUGGGAGGGGAGGUGGCGGAGGAGGAGGGGGAGGAUAUGGUGGUGGUGGUGUGGGAGGUGGAUAUGGUGGUGGUGGCGGAGGAUAUGGCGGCGGUGGCGGAGGGUACGGCGGCGGUGGUAGAGGUGGCGGUGGAGGAGGAGGCUACGGCGGCGGUGGCGGCGGCGGGAGAGGUGGGGGUGGGGGUGGCGGUGGCCGAGGUGGCGGCGGGAGGGGUGGAGGACGUGACGGUGACUGGGUUUGCCCAGACCCGAGUUGUGGCAAUGUGAACUUUGCAAGGAGGACUGAAUGCAACAAGUGUGGAGCACCUUCUCCUGCUGGAGGUGGAGGUGGAGGUGGAGGUGGAGGGUAUAAUAAAUCUGGUGGAGGGGGUGGAGGCUACAAUCGUGGUGGUGGCGAUUUUAGUUCUGGAGGUGGCGGUGGCUACAACAGAGGUGGAGGAGAUUACAACUCUGGUGGCCGUGGUGGUGGCACUGGAGGGGGAGGAAGAGGAGGAGGUUACAAUAGAGGUGGUGGCGAUGAUCGUGGAUUUGAUGACCACCGUGGUGGCAGGGGUGGUUAUGGGGGAAGAGACCAAGGGAACAACCAAAGGGGAGACGAAAGUGGUUAUGACGCUGGUAGCUAUGGACAAGUUCCUCCUCAAGGUCCUCCUUCCUAUGGUGGGCCUGGUGGUGACUAUGCAGCACCUCCAAGCUCCUAUGGAGGCAAUAAUGCAUACAAUUCAGAUUCUGCAGUGCCACCUCCUAGUAGCUAUGGUGGUGGUCCAGGUUCAUAUCCACCAAGUUAUGGUGCACCACCUCCGAACCCGCCAUAUAGCGGUGGUGCUCCAGGUGGCCAAGGUAGCCUACCUCCUUCAUAUGAUGGUGGGUAUGGUGGUCGGCCUAUGCCUGGGGGUGGAGGCCCUGGUGCACCUCCACCCUAUCAUGGUGGUGGUGGUGGUGGUGGUGGCGGCGGCGGUGGCGGCGGAUACACUGGCAGUGCUGCUCCAGAGCCAGCUGCAAAGGUUAAGCAGUGUGAUGCAAACUGUGAUGAGACUUGUGAUAAUGCAAGAAUUUACAUCUCCAACUUACCUCCUGAUGUGACUGUUGAGGAACUGCAAGAACUAUUUGGAGGAAUCGGCCAGGUUGGAAGGAUCAAGCAGAAACGUGGCUACAAAGACCAGUGGCCCUGGAACAUAAAGAUCUAUACUGAUGACUCUGGAAAGAAUAAAGGAGAUGCCUGCCUUGCCUAUGAAGAUCCUUCUGCUGCUCAUUCAGCUGGUGGAUUCUAUAACAAUUAUGAAAUGAGAGGCUAUAAAAUUAGUGUUGCGAUGGCUGAGAAAUCAGCUCCUAGAGCUCCUGCAUAUGGUCAUGGAGGUGGACGUGGUGGCUAUGGUGGAGGUCGCAGGGAUAACUUCAGAGAUGGAGGAGGCCAUGGGCCUAACAGGCAUCAAGGUGGUGGUUCGCGUUCAAGGCCAUACUGAAAGCAACUAAUAUAGUUACUAAGAUUGUCAUCUGUGAGAAACCAUUUCUAUUCCUGUUCAUCGGACUUGUACUCAAAACAAGAGCGUAAGAUGGAUAAGCUCCAAAUGCUGGUAGUUUUGAGAUGUUAUUUCAGGUGAGUGCCGAUCUGUUAUGAUUCUGCAAUGCUUUGCUAUCCCGUGAUUGCUUACCUUUUUAUUUCUGCGAUUGCAAAUUUUGCUAUAACGCUUACAUUCCACAUGGUAACUCAGCCGGUGGAUCACUAGCUUGGAUUUUGGCGAGGAGAAACAGGUAGGGCAUUUUUGUUCUUCGAUAGGUUUACUAGAUCUAGAAUCCAUUAGUUACGGAUAUCUCUGUGGAUAUUAGAUGUAUAUGAACCACCUUUUCUGGUACACAUUCAUUGACUUAUUCAUGUGGUUUGCGUCAAAUAAAGCAUGGAUAUGUUACUAUUUAGAUACUAUUUCCAGACGAAAACAUCUGCGCAUUUGUUGGCUUAUUCAUGUGGUUUGUGACUCAAAUGUAGCAUGCUUAGAAACUACAAUUUCCAAAAGGAAAAAUAUUCUAACAUAGUAGAAAAAAUCUUGUGGGAGACUCCUAAAAUCACCCCCCUUAGCAUUAGUAGUAGCACUCUUGUAUGAGGUUUCCUACUGUUGAGGUUACGCUUGCAGGCUUGCUGCUGUACAAUGUGUGCAGCCAACACCGUCUGCUGCACAUCGAUGCUGCCUGCUCUUCUAUCACUGCAGCGUAUUGUGAAACCUCGAAGCCAUCCUUGUAUCUGCCCUCCGGAUCCAGUUCCUUGUGCUGAUUGGCAAAUUGACCUGUUGGCUGGAUACCUCCAGUUCAUCUGGUUUCUUUGUAUGGUUUGUCACAGUUGCGGUGGAUACCUCCAGUUCAUCUGGUUUCUUUGUAUGGUUUCUAUCACAGUUGCGGAAGAUAGACGUCAGGCUUCUUUCCGUUGAUUGCUUUUUCCGACUCUUUCAUUUCUUUCUGAAGUUUCUCCUCGCUGUUCCAUAUGGGUUUGGUAUUUGGAUCUGUUUUAGGAGGCUUGAUCUGGAGCCCUGGACUUGCAGAUGGGCGAAGCUCCAAGCCGUUCACGUCGUUUUUGUUUGACAUUUACGUGCCGUAUGUAUCUUGCAAUAGUUUGGUUGUAUGACAUUUGCUGAAUACUUAAAUUUUUCACUUCAUUUGGGAUUGUAAUAAUGCACUGAGAAACGUACCUGUGGCUUCGCAUUAAGGAUAAAAAAAUGAUCGGUGUUGCUUCACUA